GAUGAACCCUAGCGGCAGGCCUAAUACAUGCAAGUCGAACGGUGUAGCAAUACACAGUGGCGCACGGGUGCGUAACACGUAUGCAACCUACCUUACAUUGGGGGAUAGCCUUUCGAAAGGGAGAUUAAUACCGCAUAAGACAGUAACUAGGCAUCUAGUAGCUGUUAAAGAUUUAUCGAUGUAAGCUGGGCAUGCGUCCAAUUAGUUAGUUGGCGAGGUAAUGGCUCACCAAGACGAUGAUUGGUAGGGGAACUGAGAGGUCAAUCCCCCACACUGGCACUGGGAUACGGGCCAGACUCCUACGGGAGGCAGCAGUAGGGAAUAUUGGGCAAUGGGCGCAAGCCUGACCCAGCCAUGCCGCGUGCAGGAAGAAGGCGUUAUGCGUUGUAAACUGCUUUUAUACAGGAAGAAACGACCCUUGCGAGGGGCAUUGACGGUACUGUAUGAAUAAGCACCGGCUAACUCCGUGCCAGCCGCCGCCGUAAUAC
rnacentral:rRNA from 1 species